UUAGGAAUCAUUUGCAAUGCGCGCAAGCGUGACAAUUUGAGCCAGAGUGUUCCUCAUAGAGGAACUUUUGCCAAAUGUAAAAAGUUUGGCGAAUAAGGACUGGGCAAGACUAGUGCCAGCCGCCGCGGUAAUACUAGCUGUCCGAGUCGCAGCCACAAUUAUUGGGUCUAAAACAUCCGUAGCUUGCUUGAUAAGUUUCUUGUGAAAUCCUGUCUCUCAAGGGCAGGGCGUGCAAGAAGUACUGUUGAGCUAGAGACUGGGAGACGUGAGAAGUACGUUUAAAGUAGUGGUAAAAUACGUUAAUCUUAAGCGGACUAACAAUAGCGAAGGCAUCUCACGAGAACAGUUCUGACAGUAAGGGAUGAAGGCUAGGAGCGCAAAAUGGAUUAGAUACCCAGGUAGUCCCUGAGCGGGCUGGCAAGGCGCAU
rnacentral:rRNA from 1 species